UUAUCAUUAGUUGCUACGCAAGGCACUCUAAUGAGACUGCCGGUGACAAACCGGAGGAAAGGUGGGGAUGACGUCAAGUCCUCAUGGCCCUUAUGGGUAGGGCUUCACACGUCAUACAAUGGUCGGUACAGAGGGUUGCCAAGCCGCGAGGCGGAGCCAAUCCCACAAAGCCGAUCGUAGUCCGGAUUGUUCUCUGCAACUCGAGAGCAUGGAAGUCGGAAUCGCUAGUAAUCGCAGGUCAGCAUACUGCGGUGAAUACGUUCCCGGGUCUU
rnacentral:rRNA from 1 species